AGUGGCGGACGGGUGAGUAACGCGUAAGAAUCUUACUUCAGGACGGGGACAACAGUGGGAAACGACUGCUCAUACCCGAUGUGCCGCAAGGUGAAACCUAAUUGGCCUGGAGAAGAGCUUGCGUCUGAUUAGCUAGUUGGUGGGGUAAAGGCCUACCAAGGCGACGAUCAGUAGCUGGUCUGAGAGGAUGAGCAGCCACACUGGGACUGAGACACGGCCCAGACUCCUACGGGAGGCAGCAGUGGGGAACUUUCCGCAAUGGGCGAAAGCCUGACGGAGCAACGCCGCGUGAGGGAGGAAGGUCUUUGGAUUGUAAACCUCUUUUCUCAAGGAAGAAGUUCUGACGGUACUUGAGGAGUCAGCCUCGGCUAACUCCGUGCCAGCAGCCGCGGUAAUACGGGGGAGGCAAGCGUUAUCCGGAAUUAUUGGGCGUAAAGCGUCCGCAGGUGGUCAGCCAAGUCUGCCGUCAAAUCAGGUUGCUUAACGACCUAAAGGCGGUGGAAACUGGCAGACUAGAGAGCAGUAGGGGUAGCAGGAAUUCCCAGUGUAGCGGUGAAAUGCGUAGAGAUUGGGAAGAACAUCGGUGGCGAAAGCGUGCUACUGGGCUGUAUCUGACACUCAGGGACGAAAGCUAGGGGAGCGAAAGGGAUUAGAUACCCCUGUAGUCCUAGCCGUAAACGAUGGAUACUAGGCGUGGCUU
rnacentral:rRNA from 1 species